GCUUCCAUGGCGCAAUUGGCUAGCGCGUCCGACUGUUAAUCGGGAGGUUGGUGGUUCAAGCCCACCUGGGAGCG
rfam:Conidiobolus coronatus NRRL 28638 unplaced genomic scaffold CONCOscaffold_273, whole genome shotgun sequence.